rnacentral:lncRNA from 1 species
GUCGCUCCUUUUGGUUGGUCACCCUGUUGGUCACCACCUUUAUUCUGAAUGUUCUUACCAUCAGGAUAAAUACUGAUUUCUUCAUCAGAAACAAGACAUCCCAUCACCAUGUGAGCACAAUAGCUGAGUUCACUUGUCAUUUGAUUAGAUGCUUUUCGACCUUAACUGUAGGACCCAAACUGAAUUCCAUGUCCUAUCCGCGCACACGUGUGUGUAUUGCAGUGCCACGUCACCUGGUGUCCGUGAUCAUGACAGUCCAUGAGAUGACUGUCGCAGAGAAUCUGGCUCAUUCGACAUCAUGCUGCCGCGAUACAGCCUGCGCUCUAGUGCUAGAAGACACGUGAGGACAAUCUCUGGCGUGGGAGGAGGGGAAUCAUUGGCAGGAGGUUGUUCUGAGCUCAGGAUGCAAGGAGAGACAGGUUUAACAAGACGCCAGAGGAAGUCGUCAUGGUUCUGCUGCAGGUGGAGCAGCCUCUUAUAAAGGGCAGCACCCAAGAGAGUCGCCUCCAUUUCACCAGGAGGAAAACAUGAAGGUCCUACUGUGCAGUCUACUGCUGGUCCUGCUGUGCACCACACAAGUGCAAGCACUUCGGUGCUACACCUGUGAAGGUGACUCGACCUGCAAGACCGAGACGGAGUGCCCACCGUCAAGCCAGUACUGCAAGACCGAGGUUUCAGCCAAUACCUUCUCACGAACGUGCGAGGAAUUUUGCAUUAACUCGUUCAGUGUGUCCUGCUGCACCGAGGACCUCUGUUGACCAUGAGUCUCUGCAAGACGCUGCCAUGUGCCUUGAAACAUUAUACAGAACCUACUUGAAAACAUUCUUCUUCUUUCGGUGAUUCCACAAUUCUUUGGCAUUAAAGAUUCUGGGGUUAUAAAUCAUGGCGUCUCACUUGUGAACUUGUUUGUUCCCAGAAAAGAAAAGUGAAAGUCAGAGUAAACUUGGCAUUACGAUGGUUGAAUUCCUGCAUUGUGUGUAACACGGAGUUGAGUAAACGGGUUUCUCUUCAUUCCCUCUUUGCUGACACGACAAACUAUUCUGUUGCUCUCAUCAUAGAUUGUUAGCGGAAGAAACAGAAGGGAGAUUCGGUCUCCUUCCAUGGAAAGUAAUGUUCCUCCCCUAAAAUGAGCAAACACGCUAAAGAAAUUCACAUUCACAUUCAAAGCACACCAAAGAAUUAAACUGUGGUUAAGUACUCUGUGUAAAGAAAAUACUCAUUACCAUUGAUGAAGGUCAAGAAGGUCAAGACGGUCAAGACACCUAACCCUUCUCACAUGAAGUCAUGUUUAUCCUGCUUAUUGCAUUGUGUCAUAAUCAAGGAUUUAUGCUCAAUUUAAUUGCUUUUGAAACCAGCACUGAAGACAGUAAAAAUUGCUUGUAUGUAUUAUAAGUGACAUAUUAAACUGUCAGAUUUCUGUACUAACAGAGGCAAAAAGCAUAUUAAGUAUAUUCACCAGUACAUUAAGUAAUUCUAAAUGAACACCAGCGAUAAAUAGAUACAUGUUUUUAAAGUGAGAUUCCGGCGA